ACAGGAUUCCCUUUAAAAAAAAAAAAAAAAAAAUUACGUUUGUUUUAAUCUUUUCAUUAAUUUAUUCGUCUCCGUUUAGUUACUUUUAUGUACACAUUAAUUUCACCCAUGUCUGGACGUAGACCCCAGUUGGCCAGUUUUAUAAUUCUCGUCACGUUAGACAGUUUAGAUAGAGAAUAGUUCGAGACAAACAACAUAUUAUACUUGCAAACAGCGCCCAUGGCCGAAGUUCAACAUGCUAAGCAGCUGGGCGCCGCUCCGCAGUCGGAGGCUGUGGUGCAUGGCAGUAAAGUACCAUAAGAACACCAGUAGGGGGCUGCCACCUCUAGAAUUAGUGCAUGCAUCUAAAUUCUUUCAACUAUAUUGGACACUCGUGUGCGCUUUUUAUCUCCAGUAUGGCAACAUUGUUUUUCAUUACGCAAUGAUGUAUCAUCACAGGUAAUUAUGGACUAUUAGAUAUGUAAAUAUAGGGUUUGGUAAAAGGAUUGAUUCCAUUUGAAUUUAUUACUGUAUUGUCUGUAUUGAACACUUCAUUUACUUAAUUUAUAACAGUUCAUCGAAACUGUGUCGAUGUAUCAGAAACCAUCCUGAACGUGUUUUAAAAUGCAGUAAGCUUAAACAGUAAAUAUUUUCGACACUGUUUCAUUUUAUAUACUAAAAAAUAAUUUCUGGAGUAUUUAUAACUUAAUACUUUCUCUAUUUUUUAUUUAUUUUAAUUCGCUAUUAUUUUAUCACUUUUUUUUUAAUGUGGAAUCGUUCGGUUCAAAAGAAAAUACGUGCGAAAAUAUUUAAAAUAGUUUGUUCUGCUAUCAAAUUACUUACAUCUUUACAGUGGUUUAAUUCGCUUUGUUGGAAUCUGCUCGGCUAUAGGUCUACAUCAAACCCGAAGUACUUGAAGCUACAUCAGAAGAACUGUUAUUACUUCACGUUAAUAUUACCUUGUAACCGGCUACCAUCUAACGUGACGAGUUUGACAAAUGCUGUUCCACCCUAUAUCUGCCCGAAGCACCGGACUGUGACUGUGUCCACAAAUGACGCUUUAGCUAGUAGGCUAUAUUUGGACGUGUUGGGUUGCCGAUCACUGUAACGAGCCAGCUACAUAUUGUGUAGCCUAUUCAAUCUUUAUUCAACAUAGGUGGCAGAUGAAAAGUCAAAAGUUUAAUAAAAUUGAACUGACGUCCCUCUUCUACUACUGUUAAUUGCAUUCGAAUAAUAAUAAUAAAAAAAGAAUUAAUGACCUUUAACAUUGCGAAGAUGAGGAAAAUAUAUAUAUGUAUAUAUUAAUUAUUGAAUUGAACAGUUUAGCGUACUAAAAUAAUUUCAAUAAGCUAGAGAGUAAUAUUUUUAUAUAACAAGU
rnacentral:lncRNA from 1 species